rnacentral:rRNA from 1 species
UACGGGGGGAGCAAGCGUUGUUCGGAUUUACUGGGCGUAAAGGGCGCGUAGGCGGCGCAGCAAGUCGACUGUGAAAUCUCCGGGCUUAACCCGGAAAGGUCAGCCGAUACUGCGGGGCUAGAGUGCAGAAGGGGCAACUGGAAUUCUCGGUGUAGCGGUGAAAUGCGUAGAUAUCGAGAGGAACACCUGCGGCGAAGGCGGGUUGCUGGGCUGACACUGACGCUGAUGCGCGAAAGCUAGGGGAGCGAACGGG